AGAGUUUGAUCAUGGCUCAGAUUGAACGCUGGCGGCAGGCCUAACACAUGCAAGUCGAACGGUAACAGGAAGCAGCUUGCUGCUUCGCUGACGAGUGGCGGACGGGUGAGUAAUGUCUGGGAAACUGCCUGAUGGAGGGGGAUAACUACUGGAAACGGUAGCUAAUACCGCAUAACGUCGCAAGACCAAAGAGGGGGACCUUCGGGCCUCUUGCCAUCGGAUGUGCCCAGAUGGGAUUAGCUAGUAGGUGGGGUAACGGCUCACCUAGGCGACGAUCCCUAGCUGGUCUGAGAGGAUGACCAGCCACACUGGAACUGAGACACGGUCCAGACUCCUACGGGAGGCAGCAGUGGGGAAUUUUGGACAAUGGGCGCAAGCCUGAUCCAGCAAUGCCGCGUGAGUGAAGAAGGCCUUCGGGUUGUAAAGUACUUUCAGCGGGGAGGAAGGGAGUAAAGUUAAUACCUUUGCUCAUUGACGUUACCCGCAGAAGAAGCACCGGCUAACUCCGUGCCAGCAGCCGCGGUAAUACGGAGGGUGCAAGCGUUAAUCGGAAUUACUGGGCGUAAAGCGCACGCAGGCGGUUUGUUAAGUCAGAUGUGAAAUCCCCGGGCUCAACCUGGGAACUGCAUCUGAUACUGGCAAGCUUGAGUCUCGUAGAGGGGGGUAGAAUUCCAGGUGUAGCGGUGAAAUGCGUAGAGAUCUGGAGGAAUACCGGUGGCGAAGGCGGCCCCCUGGACGAAGACUGACGCUCAGGUGCGAAAGCGUGGGGAGCAAACAGGAUUAGAUACCCUGGUAGUCCACGCCGUAAACGAUGUCAACUAGCCGUUGGGGUCCUUGAGACUUUAGUGGCGCAGUUAACGCGAUAAGUAGACCGCCUGGGGAGUACGGUCGCAAGAUUAAAACUCAAAGGAAUUGACGGGGACCCGCACAAGCGGUGGAUGAUGUGGAUUAAUUCGAUGCAACGCGAAGACCCUUACCUGGGCUUGACAUGUACGGGACCGCCGCAGAGAUGUGGCUUCCCUUGUGGCUCGUAUACAGGUGGUGCAUGGUUGUCGUCAGCUCGUGUCGUGAGAUGUUGGGUUAAGUCCCGCAACGAGCGCAACCCUUGUCAUUAGUUGCUACGAAAGGGCACUCUAAUGAGACUGCCGGUGACAAACCGGAGGAAGGUGGGGAUGACGUCAAGUCCUCAUGGCCCUUAUGGGUAGGGCUUCACACGUCAUACAAUGGUACAUACAGAGGGCCGCCAACCCGCGAGGGGGAGCUAAUCCCAGAAAGUGUAUCGUAGUCCGGAUUGUAGUCUGCAACUCGACUACAUGAAGUUGGAAUCGCUAGUAAUCGCGGAUCAGCAUGUCGCGGUGAAUACGUUCCCGGGUCUUGUACACACCGCCCGUCACACCAUGGGAGCGGGUUCUGCCAGAAGUAGGUAGCUUAACCGUAAGGAGGGCGCUUACCACGGCAGGGUUCGUGACUGGGGUGAAGUCGUAACAAGGUAACCGUAGGGGAACCUGCGGUUG
rnacentral:rRNA from 1 species